GGCUUUCGCCUGGUUUGGGAUCCCAUCCAAGUUUUUCUGCUGCAUAUUGGAAAAUGUUCGUGAAAAAUUGCCUGAGGUUGUCCAGUAACUCAGGAACUGCAUCAGCUGCAAUUCUUUCGAGUUUGUAGCUUAUACUGAUCAAAUUCGAUAAUACAGUGUAGUCAAGUUCCUCUCUAUAAGCACCCAUCAAGGUAAGCAAAGAGGUAACUGAUUGCUGGCAAGCCAUAGAAAGGGCAAAUGCAUCAUCCAAAAUACCAAAUCUGUCCGUUGCAGUCAAAUGAUUUUUCUCUAUUGCAUUCCUAAGCUUAGCUGCAAGAUCUUCAUCAUACUUCACCCGGUAAAAGCCAGUCUGAUCAACAUUAAGCUUUAUCCAAUCACAACAUUUAUCAUUUCCACCAGAGCAUUUGCUGAUGGAGCAACCAAGGAACUCCUUGAUGUCUACAGAUUCGGUCUUUGUUUGCAGCAGAAAGUUUUUCCGCACAUCAUAAGAACCACAACACAAUGUUAUGGGAACAAUCCAUUGCCCCUCUCCACAGGAACCACUCAACAAAAAUCUUGACUGUUCAAACACCAAUUUCUCAUCUUUCACUUUGACAGUGACAACAGGAUAUCCUUGUUGCUUGGUCCAGGAACUCAUUAAGUUGUUCACAGGUUCACCAGAUCCCUCCUCUAGAGCAGCCCACAAGUCUUCAGUCUUUGUAUUGGAACAACUGUGCUUUUUUAUGUAUGAAGCAAGUGAUUUCUGAAAACACUCAGCACCGAGAUAGCUUUGUAACAUUCGAAUAACAGAUGCACCUUUUCUGUAGCUAAUUGCAUCAAAUAUUUCAUCAACCUCACUGGCAUGAUUUAUCUCAACCUCAAUUGGAUGUGAUUCAGCAAGCCCAUCCAAAGUAAGACCAUGGUUUGAUUCUUCAAGAAAUUGAUUCCAUACUUUCCACUCUGGAAACAAGCUAUCAGUAGCUAAAUAAC
rnacentral:misc_RNA from 1 species